UGCAACUGUUUAUUAAAAACAUAGCACUCUGCAAACACGAAAGUGGACGUAUAGGGUGUGAUGCCUGCCCGGUGCUGGAAGGUUAAUUGAUGGGGUUAGCGUAAGCGAAGCUCUUGAUCGAAGCCCCAGUAAACGGCGGCCGUAACUAUAACGGUCCUAAGGUAGCGAAAUUCCUUGUCGGGUAAGUUCCGACCUGCACGAAUGGCAUAAUGAUGGCGGCGCUGUCUCCAGCAGAGGCUCAGUGAAAUCGAAAUCGCUGUGAAGAUGCAGUGUACCCGCGGCUAGACGGAAAGACCCCGUGAACCUUUACUGCAGCUUGACACUGAACUUUGACCUUACUUGUGUAGGAUAGGUGGGAGGCUUUGAAGCUGGAACGCUAGUUCCAGUGGAGCCGUCCUUGAAAUACCACCCUGGUAAUGUUGAGGUUCUAACUCUGUCCCGUGAUCCGGGACGAGGACCGUGUCUGGUGGGUAGUUUGACUGGGGCGGUCUCCUCCUAAAGAGUAACGGAGGAGUACGAAGGUGCGCUCAGCGUGGUCGGAAAUCACGCGUAGAGUAUAAAGGCAAAAGCGCGCUUAACUGCGAGACCCACAAGUCGAGCAGGUACGAAAGUAGGUCUUAGUGAUCCGGUGGUUCUGUAUGGAAGGGCCAUCGCUCAACGGAUAAAAGGUACUCUGGGGAUAACAGGCUGAUACCGCCCAAGAGUUCAUAUCGACGGCGGUGUUUGGCACCUCGAUGUCGGCUCAUCUCAUCCUGGGGCUGAAGCAGGUCCCAAGGGUAUGGCUGUUCGCCAUUUAAAGAGGUACGCGAGCUGGGUUUAGAACGUCGUGAGACAGUUCGGUCCCUAUCUACCGUGGGCGCUGGAAAUUUGAGAGGAUCUGCUCCUAGUACGAGAGGACCAGAGUGGACGAACCUCUGGUGUACCGGUUGUGACGCCAGUCGCAUCGCCGGGUAGCUAUGUUCGGAAGGGAUAACCGCUGAAAGCAUCUAAGCGGGAAGCCUACCUCAAGAUAAGAUUUCCCUAGGACUUUAUGUCCUCUAAAGAGCCGUUCGAGACUAGGACGUUGAUAGGUUGGAUGUGGAAGCAUAGUGAUAUGUGAAGCUGACCAAUACUAAUUGCUCGUGAGGCUUGACUAU
rnacentral:rRNA from 1 species